rnacentral:misc_RNA from 1 species
UCCGGUUUGGCACCGGCAGUCUCCAAUGAGUCCCCGGCAUUACCCGCUGGCAACAUUGGACAGGGGUUGCGCUCGUUGCGGGACUUAACCCAACAUCUCACGACACGAGCUGACGACAACCAUGCACCACCUGUGAUCCUGCCCCAAAGGGGAAGCCCUGUUUCCAGGGCGGUCAGGAACAUGUCAAACCCAGGUAAGGUUCUUCGCGUUGCGUCGAAUUAAACCACAUGCUCCGCUGCUUGUGCGGGUCCCCGUCAAUUCCUUUGAGUUUUAGCCUUGCGGCCGUACUCCCCAGGCGGGGCACUUAAUGCGUUAGCUCCGGCACGGAGGGAGUCGAUAUCCCCCACACCUAGCACCCAUCGUUUACGGCGUGGACUAC